rnacentral:lncRNA from 1 species
UGUUUUAAUAGUUCAGCUCACUGGGCUUUUAGCUCACCCCUCUCCCUUUACCCCCAGGCUUGCAGGUACAGGAUAUAGCAGGAGUCCGGAUAGUGUAAAGAAGUCAUGUUUAUGUAAUAGCUAGCAAUGGACAUGAUCAAAUUGUAAUGUAAAAGUACAGUAUAGUUAUGUAAUGAGUUUUAUGGAUGUUAGUGUGUGCUUGACCAUAGAAUGUUGUAUCCCGUUUUAUACAUGAUCUUAGAGAUUUUGAUGAUGUUUAUGUAAACCAGCUCAACACAGGUUAUGUUACCCUUUGAGGGCACAGAUGAGAUCCC